CACUCAGUAGCCACAACUACUGUCUGGGGGGCUGUCAGCCUGUAUAGUCUAGCGACUGAGGAGCAGCAGGUCCCCUGGUGUUAUACCCUUGUCUUUUGCGCACCCAUGUUUCCUCGGCGGGCCUGCCCGCCGACAGGACAACUCUAUAACCCUUUUUAUUUAUUCCAUCAGCGUCUGAAAUAUUGAAUUAUUA
rnacentral:misc_RNA from 1 species